UGCGUAUUUUUAAGGCUUGAUAGGUCCUACCCACAUGGCUCUCUGAGGAGCUGUGCGAGUUUACCUUCGACGAUGGCCCACAGAAACGUAGUGAUGGUGGCUGGCUUUUUAAAGGAGUGAAGGUGGUACCUUGAAAACUAAGUGAUACAUGAUCAUUCAAGCUGAAAGUGUCGAUGGUUUGCUGUAGGAUUAAACAUCACGUGGUGUUAGGUGUUCCUAGGCCGAUGGAUACACCCAAGGAUGAAAGAUGGUUAG
rnacentral:lncRNA from 10 species